rnacentral:rRNA from 1 species
UUUUGGACAAUGGGUGAAAGCCUGAUCCAGCAAUGCCGCGUGUGGGAAGAAGGCCUUCGGGUUGUAAACCACUUUCGUACGGAACGAAAAGGUCUGCCCUAAUACGGUGGGCCCAUGACGGUACCGUAAGAAUAAGCCCCGGCUAACUACGUGCCAGCAGCCGCGGUAAUACGUAGGGUGCGAGCGUUAAUCGGAAUUACUGGGCGUAAAGCGUGCGCAGGCGGUUAUAUAAGCCAGUUGUGAAAUCCCCGGGCUCAACCUGGGAAGUGCAUUGGGGACUGUAUAGCUAGAGGCGGUAGAGGGGCAGAAAUUCCGCCGCGAGCACCAACAGUGUGAUAUCGGAGCACACCCGUCCUUUAGGCCGUCCCCGGCCCACACUGACGUUCAUGC